AUUACUCCUACGGGAGGCAGCAGUGGGGAAUAUUGGACAAUGGGCGAAAGCCUGAUCCAGCCAUGCCGCGUGUGUGAAGAAGGUCUUCGGAUUGUAAAGCACUUUAAGUUGGGAGGAAGGGCAGUAAGCUAAUACCUUGCUGUUUUGACGUUACCGACAGAAUAAGCACCGGCUAACUCUGUGCCAGCAGCCGCGGUAAUAAU
rnacentral:rRNA from 1 species